rnacentral:rRNA from 1 species
GUGGGGAAUAUUGCACAAUGGGCGCAAGCCUGAUGCAGCAACGCCGCGUGAGGGACGACGGCCUUCGGGUUGUAAACCUCUUUUAGCAGGGAAGAAGCGAAAGUGACGGUACCUGCAGAAAAAGCACCGGCUAACUACGUGCCAGCAGCCGCGGUAAUACGUAGGGUGCAAGCGUUGUCCGGAAUUAUUGGGCGUAAAGAGCUCGUAGGCGGUUUGUCGCGUCUGCUGUGAAAACCCGAGGCUCAACCUCGGGCCUGCAGUGGGUACGGGCAGACUAGAGUGCGGUAGGGGAGAUUGGAAUUCCUGGUGUAGCGGUGGAAUGCGCAGAUAUCAGGAGGAACACCGAUGGCGAAGGCAGAUCUCUGGGCCGUAACUGACGCUGAGGAGCGAAAGCGUGGGGAGCGAACAGGAUUAGAAACCCCAGUAGUCC